AACCUUACCAAAUCUUGACAUCCUUUGACAACUCUAGAGAUAGAGCYUUCCCCUUCGGGGGACAAAGUGACAGGUGGUGCAUGGUUGUCGUCAGCUCGUGUCGUGAGAUGUUGGGUUAAGUCCCGCAACGAGCGCAACCCUUAAGCUUAGUUGCCAUCAUUAAGUUGGGCACUCUAAGUUGACUGCCGGUGACAAACCGGAGGAAGGUGGGGAUGACGUCAAAUCAUCAUGCCCCUUAUGAUUUGGGCUACACACGUGCUACAAUGGACAAUACAAAGGGCAGCGAAACCGCGAGGUCAAGCAAAUCCCAUAAAGUUGUUCUCAGUUCGGA
rnacentral:rRNA from 1 species